rnacentral:rRNA from 1 species
GGAAUAUUGGUCAAUGGGCGCGAGCCUGAACCAGCCAAGUAGCGUGCAGGACGACGGCCCUACGGGUUGUAAACUGCUUUUAUCAGGGGAUAAAGUGCGGGACGUGUCCCUCAUUGCAGGUACCUGAUGAAUAAGCAUCGGCUAAUUCCGUGCCAGCAGCCGCGGUAAUACGGAAGAUGCGAGCGUUAUCCGGAUUUAUUGGGUUUAAAGGGAGCGUAGGCGGGCUUUUAAGCCAGCGGUCAAAUGUCAGGGCCCAACCUUGGCAUGCCGUUGGAACUGGGAGCCUUGAAUACACACAAGGAAGGUGGAAUUCGUCGUGUAGCGGUGAAAUGCUUAGAUAUGACGAAGAACUCCGAUUGCGAAGGCAGCCUUCUGGGGUGCGAUUGACGCUGAGGCUCGAAAGUGCGGGUAUCGAACA